AAGGGCACCACAAGCGCGUGGAGUAUGUGGCUUAAUUUGACUCAACGCGGAAAAGCUUAUCUGGUCCGGACGCAGUGAGGGAUUGACAGACAGUUAGACAAAAGUGGUUUUUGGUAACAAAUUGAGAGAGGUGAAGUUCUUUCAUGAUCUUGUGAGAGGUGGUGCAUGGCCGUUCUUAGUUCGUGUAGUGAUAUGUCUGCCUAAUCGCGUCACGAUAACCUAUUGGUCGACAACCCAAUUAUCACAACUGCAGCAUAACUCCCCUUGGGUGGGCGAGGCUCUGUGUAGGAUAGACCUCUGAACAGUACGCAACGAACGUGAUCGUAAACCCUUGUUGAGUGGCCAUCCUGUAAGCUGCUGGAUUAGGAACCCAGUGGUAUUAUCUCAGCCACAGAUUUCUGGGUGUAAUGGCCAGUUUGAAACUCGGGCACAUCUGUGACUUCUUUCUUAACGCAGAGGAAGGUUAUGGCAAUAACAGGUCUGUGAUGCCCUUAGAUGUCCAGGGCUGCACACGUACUACAUUGAUCAACUCAGUAGGCGUCGUGUUAGUUCUCCAAUAACGUAUCUAGUGGACUUGGUGUCGGGUAUGUGGCCUCUGGUCAUGUACUUUGAUUACUGUCACUUUAAACACUGGUCGUUAGACUCGUGCAAUCCAAUAGAAGAGGUGACUAAGUUUCCCUAAAGUACCGUGUUUAGCUCCCGUGUUCGUAGAGACCCCUCGCAUUGCCAGUCGAUGUGGGUCCUUUGUGCUUUUUUCAAAUCUUAGUGGGGACAGACAUCUGUUAACUUUUUGUCUCGGUCCCAACCAGGAAUGCCUCGUACAGGUUGGUUCACCAUACCACCUGGAAUUAGUCCCUGCCCUUUGUACACACCGCCCGUCGCUUUUACCAAUGAACUUCUUUGCGAGAGUGAGAGACUUGUAAUAAUCAUGGAACUCACUCGACCGACGGGAUUUAAAGGAAAAAGAAGUCGUAACAAGGCAGCCGUAGGUGAACUGCAGAAGGAUCA
rnacentral:rRNA from 1 species